UUCUUACUCCCUCCGUUCCAAAAUUCUUGUCUUAAAUUUGUCUAGAUAUAAAUGUAUCUAGUCACAUUUUAGUAUUUAGAUAAAUCCAUUUCUAGACAAACCUAAGACAAAAAAUUUAGAACGGAGGGAGCAUUUG
rfam:Hordeum vulgare subsp. vulgare, WGS project CAJW01000000 data, contig: morex_contig_1571451